GACGAACGCUGGCGGCGUGCUUAACACAUGCAAGUCGAACGGAAAGGCCCCUUUGGGGGUACUCGAGUGGCGAACGGGUGAGUAACACGUGAGUAACCUGCCCUUGACUUCGGGAUAACUUCAGGAAACUGGGGCUAAUACCGGAUAGGAAUCCUUGCUGCAUGGUGGGGGUUGGAAAGCUUCGGCGGUUUUGGAUGGACUCGCGGCUUAUCAGCUUGUUGGUGGGGUAGUGGCUUACCAAGGCUUUGACGGGUAGCCGGCCUGAGAGGGCGAACGGCCACAUUGGGACUGGGAUACGGCCCAGACUCCUACGGGAGGCAGCAGGGGGGAAUAUUGCACAAUGGGCGGAAGCCUGAUGCAGCAACGCCGCGUGCGGGAUGACGGCCUUCGGGUUGUAAACCGCUUUCAGCAGGGGCGAAGCUUGUGGUGACGGUACCUGCAGAAGAAGCACCGGCUAACUACGUG
rnacentral:rRNA from 1 species